GAUGAACGCUGGCGGCGUGCCUAAUACAUGCAAGUCGAGCGAACAGACGAGGAGCUUGCUCCUCUGACGUUAGCGGCGGACGGGUGAGUAACACGUGGAUAACCUACCUAUAAGACUGGGAUAACUUCGGGAAACCGGAGCUAAUACCGGAUAAUAUAUUGAACCGCAUGGUUCAAUAGUGAAAGACGGUUUUGCUGUCACUUAUAGAUGGAUCCGCGCCGCAUUAGCUAGUUGGUAAGGUAACGGCUUACCAAGGCAACGAUGCGUAGCCGACCUGAGAGGGUGAUCGGCCACACUGGAACUGAGACACGGUCCAGACUCCUACGGGAGGCAGCAGUAGGGAAUCGUACGCAAUGGGCGAAAGCCUGACGGAGCAGCGGCGCGUGAGUGAUGAAGGUCUUCGGAUCGGAAAACUCUGUUAUUAGGGAAGAACAAAUGUGUAAGUAACUAUGCACAUCUUGACGGUACCUAAUCAGAAAGCCACGGCUAACUACGUG
rnacentral:rRNA from 1 species